UGGGGAAUAUUGGACAAUGGGCGCAAGCCUGAUCCAGCCAUGCCGCGUGAGUGAUGAAGGCCUUAGGGUUGUAAAGCUCUUUCGACGGGGACGAUAAUGACGGUACCCGUAGAAGAAGCCCCGGCUAACUUCGUGCCAGCAGCCGCGGUAAUACGAAGGGGGCUAGCGUUGCUCGGAAUCACUGGGCGUAAAGGGCGCGUAGGCGGACGUUUAAGUCAGAGGUGAAAGCCCAGGGCUCAACCCUGGAAUGGCCUUUGAUACUGGACGUCUUGAGUCUGGUAGAGGUUGGUGGAACUGCGAGUGUAGAGGUGAAAUUCGUAGAUAUUCGCAAGAACACCGGUGGCGAAGGCGGCCAACUGGACCAGAACUGACGCUGAGGCGCGAAAGCGUGGGGAGCAAACAGGAUUNGAUACCCUGGUAGUCCACGCCGUAAACGAUGGAUGCUAGCCGUUGGCCGGUUUACCGGUCAGUGGCGCAGCUAACGCGUUAAGCAUCCCGCCUGGGGAGUACGGCCGCAAGGUUAAAAC
rnacentral:rRNA from 1 species